UGGGGAAUUUUGCACAAUGGGGGAAACCCUGAUGCAGCGACGCCGCGUGAUUUAGAAGGCCUUCGGGUUGUAAAAAUCUUUUCUAUGGGAAGACAAUGACAGUACCAUAGGAAUAAGGACCGGCUAAUUACGUGCCAGCAGCCGCGGUAAUACGUAAGGUCCGAGCGUUGUCCGGAAUCAUUGGGCGUAAAGGGUACGUAGGCGGGUAAGCAAGUUAGAAGUGAAAUCCUAUAGCUCAACUAUAGUAAGCUUUUAAAACUGCUCAUCUUGAGGUAUGGAAGGGAAAGUGGAAUUCCUAGUGUAGCGGUGAAAUGCGCAGAUAUUAGGAGGAAUACCGGUGGCGAAGGCGACUUUCUGGCCAUAACCUGACGCUGAGGUACGAAAGCGUGGGUAGCAAACAGG
rnacentral:rRNA from 1 species